GAUCAUGGCUCAGGAUGAACGCUAGCUACAGGCUUAACACAUGCAAGUCGGAGGGGAAGCAUGGUCUUAGCUUGCUAAGGCCGAUGGCGACCGGCGCACGGGUGAGUAACACGUAUCCAACCUGCCGUCUACUCUUGGACAGCCUUCUGAAAGGAAGAUUAAUACAAGAUGGCAUCAUGAGUCCGCAUGUUCACAUGAUUAAAGGUAUUCCGGUAGACGAUGGGGA
rnacentral:rRNA from 1 species